rnacentral:tRNA from 1 species
CCCUGGUUAGCUCAGUUGGUAGAGCGCUCCAUAUGUAAUGGAGAGGUCCCGGGUUCGAUACCCGGACCAGGCG